rnacentral:rRNA from 1 species
AGAACGAACGCUGGCGGCAUGCCUAACACAUGCAAGUCGAACGAGACCUUCGGGUCUAGUGGCGCACGGGUGCGUAACGCGUGGGAAUCUGCCCUUGGGUUCGGAAUAACAGCGAGAAAUUGCCGCUAAUACCGGAUGAUGACGUAAGUCCAAAGAUUUAUCGCCCAAGGAUGAGCCCGCGUAGGAUUAGCUUGUUGGUGAGGUAAGAGCUCACCAAGGCGACGAUCCUUAGCUGGUCUGAGAGGAUGAUCAGCCACACGUGGGACUGAGACACGGCCCAGACUCCGUACGGGAGGCAGCGAGGUCGGGGAAUAGUUGGACAAGUGGGACGAAAGCCUAGAUCAGCAAGUCGACCGGCGGUU